UACGAGAGGUCCAAACGUUAUUCGGAAUUACUGGGCUUACAGAGUUCGUAGGCGGCCUUCUAAGUCAGACGUGAAAUCCCCAGGCUUAACUUGGGAACUGCGUCUGAUACUGGGAGGCUUGAGUGCGGGAGAGGGAUGUGGAAUUCCAGGUGUAGCGGUGAAAUGCGUAGAUAUCUGGAGGAACACCGGUGGCGAAGGCGGCAUCCUGGACCGACACUGACGCUGAGGCGCGAAAGCUAGGGGAGCAAACGGG
rnacentral:rRNA from 1 species